UGGGGAAUUUUGGACAAUGGGCGCAAGCCUGAUCCAGCCAUGCCGCGUGCGGGAAGAAGGCCUUCGGGUUGUAAACCGCUUUUAUUUGGGAAGAAGGAGUAGAGGCUAAUACCCUUUAUGACGGACGGUACCGGAUGAAUAAGCACCGGCUAACUACGUGCCAGCAGCCGCGGUAAUACGUAGGGUGCGAGCGUUAAUCGGAAUUACUGGGCGUAAAGCGUGCGCAGGCGGUUCGAGAAGUCAGCUGUGA
rnacentral:rRNA from 1 species